rnacentral:rRNA from 1 species
CCCUUAGAUGUCCUGGGCCGCACGCGCGCUACACUGAUGCAUUCAACGAGCUUAUAACCUUGGCCGAGAGGCCUGGGCAAUCUUGCUAACGUGCAUCGUGAUAGGGAUAGAUUAUUGAAAUUAUUAAUCUUGAACGAGGAAUUCCUAGUAAACGCAGAUCAUCAAUCUGCAUUGAUUACGUCCCUGCCCUUUGUACACACCGCCCGUCGCACCUACCGAUUGGAUGGUCCGGUGAAGCCUCGGGAUUGUGGUUCUUGCCGCUUUAUUGUGGCGUGACCGCGAGAACUUGUCUAAACCUUAUCAUCUAGAGGAAGGUGAAGUCGUAACA